UGGGGGAUAUUGCACAAUGGGCGAAAGCCUGAUGCAGCGACGCCGCGUGGGGGAUGAAGGCCUUCGGGUUGUAAACUUCUUUUGCUCUGAACAAGGCAUGCCUUUGGGGUGUGUUGAGUGUAGGGGUUGAUUAGCGCCGGCUAACUACGUGCCAGCAGCCGCGGUAAUACGUAGGGCGCGAGCGUUGUCCGGAAUUAUUGGGCGUAAAGGGCUUGUAGGUGGCUGGUUGCGUCUGUCGUGAAAGCUCAUGGCUUAACUGUGGGUUUGCGGUGGGUACGGGCUGGCUUGAGUGCAGUAGGGGAGGCUGGAAUUCCUGGUGUAGCGGUGGAAUGCGCAGAUAUCAGGAGGAAUACCGGUGGCGAAGGCGGGUCUCUGGGCCGUUACUGACACUGAGGAGCGAAAGCGUGGGGAGCGAACAGG
rnacentral:rRNA from 1 species